rnacentral:tRNA from 1 species
UAAAGAAGCGGCUGUAGAAGUGUUAAGUUGUAACCUUAAUUAUGGUGUAAUAUACCCUUCUUUAA